CCCUGAGACGGAGAGCGGGAGCGGGCUGGCGCUCUGCAGCCCUUGACUCUGCUCUCCCUGGAUGACCGUCAGCUCCUAGAGAAGAUCUGCCUUCCCUUGAGGUGGCUUCUCCUGUCCUGAGAAGCAUGUCACACAAGCUAACAUUUGUUUAAAAAAGAAUUAUGACAUCCUUAACACCCGAUGUGUGUCGUGUCCCCAGAAGAAUUCUCUGCUUCCCCAGAAGAUUAGACAGCAAGCAGCUGGGGCCGAGUUCUGACCCAGGAAGGAAGGAUGCUGAGUGCGCAGCUGUCUCCCCUCCAAGGACUCCUUCCCCUGAUCUGUGGCCUUGAUGGGGUGACAGCGCUGGGCACUCACACAGAAACCUUACACCUUUCUAUGAAAGCCACCCGUGCACAGUGUCCACAGAGCUCCUCGUCAUAUUGGAAAAAUUCCUGAAGACAGCUGCCUGGAGUUGAGCCGAUAGUUCUUCCUAUGGCCAUAAAGGAGAAUCCUUAUAUUGGCCAUGGGGCCUCAGGAGAAGCCCUCGUGAGAGAGGAAUCCUUGCUAACCCUAUGUUGUACAUAAGACUGGCUUCUCCUAAGACAGUGGUUCUCGAACUCCAGUGUGCAUUAGAACCGUGUGGAGGUCCCCUACAACACAGAAUGCUGAGCCCAUCCCAGAGUUUGUGAUCCAGUAGGAUGGGGGGACCCGAGAAUUUAUGUCUCUGACCGUUUCCCAGGUGAUUCUGCUGACCAGCCACACAUUGAGAACCAUUGGCUUAGAAACCCUAGGUUUCAAAGGAUGCUUUGCUUGAGCAGACAGCCAAAAGUAUCAAAAUCUUAAUCAAGAUUCACCAACAACUUGAAUGUGUUGGCAUUUGGAUCUAGAGGCUCCUGAAUUUUCAGGGGCUAAAGCAAACAUUACUCAGAGUUCAAGGUUUGUGACUCUUGUGGGAGAUCAAGAUUUGGCCACCCUGAAAUCUCUCUCUUUACCUUGCUUGUUUUCUCUAGGGACAUUUGACCUCCCCUACUAACUGCCUAAAGAAUUUGACAUAGUAACUCCUUCCUGGAACAGAUCUAUCAUGAUGGCUGUAAAGAUAAUGUAGGAUAGAGGUUACAAUAGAAAAGGCACCAACAAGCCCCUCUUAUCAGAAGUUCUGUCUCUCUGGCCACAUUCUCUGGAUGACCCUGCGAGGAGUUGGCAGACAAUCAUUUACAUUUAUAAGGGAAAUCUCCAUUUGUAAAGGUAU